GCCAGUGUCACUGCCAUCUAAAGCAGACCCACAGUCCACACCAGCGUCUCCUACUAUUACAGUAAAUUUGUUCAUUCGACAAGAUUUUUCUUAGCGGCUGGAUUCGCACGCUCAGCCCGCAGGGACAGGAGAUGAAGGGCAUCGUGUUGAAUGCACCAACAGAGAAGCCCUAAGAAAAACCCUCAGGGAUCGAAAAUCAGGUGUCCAUCCAUCCCUCGACAGAGCAUAAGGAAGAAGGGAGCAGGCAAUCUGCUGCUCUGCAGUGAUUACAUGAGCUGGAUAAGCAGAAGAGGGAGAAGGAGUGGUCCGGCAGAGACGAGCCUACAGCUGCUUCCUUGGACUCUGCAACAUCUUUCCAAGGAUGUCAUGGCAUCCAUUGAGAGUCAUUGGUUUAAACCCUCAACCCAGAGUGUUAUCCCCAAAUAAAAGAAAUAUUAGUU